CCUACGGGUGGCUGCAGUGGGGAAUAUUGCACAAUGGGGGAAACCCUGAUGCAGCCACGCCGCGUGGGUGAAGGAGCGUUUCGGCGCGUAAAGCUCUGUCAGCGGGGAAGAAGAAAGACGGUACCCGACCACGAAGCCCCGGCUAACUACGUGCCAGCAGCUGCGGUCAUACGUAGGGGGCGAGCGUUAUCCGGAAUUACUGGGUGUAAGGGGAGCGUAGACGGGAGGGUAAGCCUGAAGUGGAAGCCCGCGGCCCAACCGCGGAACUGCCUUGGGAACUGUUUUGCUGGAGUAUGGGAGGGGUAAGCGGAAUGCGUGGUGUAGCGGUGAAAUGCGUAGAUAUCAGGAGGAACACCGGUGGCGAAGGCGGCUUACUGGACCAUAACUGACGUUGAGGCUCGAAAGCGUGGGGAGCGAACAGGAUUAGAUACCCCUGUAGUC
rnacentral:rRNA from 1 species